CCUACGGGAGGCUGCAGUGAGGAAUAUUGGUCAAUGGACGAGAGUCUGAACCAGCCAAGUAGCGUGAAGGAUGACUGCCCUAUGGGUUGUAAACUUCUUUUAUAUGGGAAUAAAAUGUUCCACGUGUGGGACCUUGUAUGUACCAUAUGAAUAAGGCUCGGCUAACUCCGUGCCAGCAGCCGCGGUAAUUCGGAGGAUCCGAGCGUUUUCCGGAUUUAUUGGGGUUAAAGGGAUCGUAGGUGGAUUGUUAAGUCAGUUGUGCAAGUUUGCGGCUCAACCGUAUAAUUGCAGUUGAAACUGGCAGUCUUGAGUACAGUAGAGGUGGGCGGAAUGCGUGGUGUAGCGGUGAAAUGCUUAGAUAUCACGAAGAACUCCGAUUGCGAAGGCAGUUCACUGGACUGCAACUGACACUGAGGCUCGAAAGUGUGGGUAUCAAACAGGAUUAGAUACCCUUGUAGUC
rnacentral:rRNA from 1 species